CAUGGAGGGAGGGGAUGUAAAAGAGCAGCGGUAUUUGGGAGGAGCUCUUUUUUUUCCCUUUCUCCUCUCUCCAAACCACUGGAAGGCAGUGAUGAGAAAAUGCCAGUGACAGGAAACCAGCUUUCCAAGAAGAGCAAAUGCCAGCUCCAGCUCCCUGGAGAAAGAAGCCUUGUCAUGGCCAAUUAUGGAAAGCCUGCCCAGGGGAGAUGUUUAUUCCUAACCCCUCAGUACCGCCUUCCCAAAGCCCUUCCUGUUGUGACCCCACUCAGCUCCAAGACUCCGGGAGACGCCAGUCGCUGCCACACAUUUUAGCUGACACGGAUUCCUGCCAGGCUCGUGACUGUACCCAGAACCAAGAAAAAAAAGCCGACUUGGGGUCAUAACCCCAUGUUUGCAAACCAUUGCCACAGCCGUUGGCUUUCGCUUGGAAGCAGGCCAUUUUUGUUUAAUUCCCGUAUCGUAUAACCACCAAUUUUCUCGGUGUACAUGCAGGGGCAAAACAGUGCCUUGCACAGCUGAAGCUGGGCAGGAAACAGGAGUGCAAUGAGGAGGCGCAGUCGCAGCAGCGUUGAGCACAGCGUCGUUCCCCCAGCCCUCAGGGAGCCUCCCGUCACCCCCACGUCCCCUGUGCUGCGAAGGGCUGUGGCCAGCUCUGCUCCAGCUGUAAACCCUGCUCCUUCCCUUCACAGGGUCCUCUCCUCACAUCCGUAACUCAAUGAAUUUGUGUUCCCUGGGCAGUAAAUAAAAAGCGUGGUUUCUGAUA